ACAUUUAAACAUUUAAACAUUUAAACAUUUAAACAUUUAAACAAUUCAACAUUUCAACAUUUUUACUCAAAAUUAAAAAAAAACACAAGGAACAAGGAUCACAAAACGAACGCACCAUGAUUCUGAAUCUAUGUGCAGCCGACGCUCAUGAAACGAACGCACCAUGAUUGAAGCGAGCUGUCAUUUUUUUCACUCGCGCGUGCUUGCAGCAUGUUCUUUCGUUGUGUUCGAUUCGUUUUUCCGCGUGUAAUUGGGGAUUUUCUACAUCCGGCGACUUCAAAGACUUAAGUGUUUUUUUCUCUCUAACAGGGACUUCUUUCACCGGGUGGAGCUGUUCGGACGGUCCGCUCCUGCUGCGGCAUUCCCGGCACCCAUCAUGGCCACUUUAAGGCUUGCAAAGUGUCGAACGGUUGGACAAACCUUCCGAGAGACAAAUCUGGCUAAGAGAUGUUCAAAAUUUUUAGCAACUUAGGAACCGGCACCGGCUGUGGGAAUUCCAGAUCGCUGUCGGCGUUCCGUUCCUGGUGUUUGUUAGGGAUGUGCAGACGCACUGGACUCAAACUGCCGGCAGUGCAACGAGGGUUAGGCGAUACCAUAGCGCAACGACGUGCAACAAGUGAAAUCUCUCGCUGAAGAAGCACUUCGAACCGGCCGUACUUCUGGAGACAAAUAGCUAUACGUAAGUUGUGUCGGAUGGAGAAAGUGUAGAUUGUUUUUAAUUGAGUGUUUAUAAUUUCAGAAUUGAGGACAUCACCGAAUUGACCCGAUGUUUCCAGACGACAGGAACGACAAACACAAACUGCUGGGCAGUUAGGAAUCUACGGAUGGAGUGCAAUGUCCCGAGGACCCGAGGAGGAACGUGUACCGAUUACAUCGAUCGGUGUAAUCGAUGACGAGAUUGAACCGGAAUUACCAAAGAAAACGACGCGAAAAGAAAGUGCAAAAUUAAGUGAAAUUAAAGAGUAAUUUAAAAAAAACUCACUAAUUACUAUCAAAAGAAGUGUAUUUAGGAUUCCUUUUACUGUGUGUAAAUAGUUUUAGCAGCAUCAUUUAGUGAGGAAUAAAAAAUAAACAGUAUAAAAAACAAUAAAAA